rnacentral:rRNA from 1 species
UACGGAGGAUCCAAGCGUUAUCCGGAUUUAUUGGGUUUAAAGGGUGCGUAGGCGGAUUGAUAAGUUAGAGGUGAAAUGUCCGAGCUCAACUCGGGAACUGCCUCUAAUACUGUUGAUCUAGAGAGUAGAUGCGGUAGGCGGAAUGUAUGGUGUAGCGGUGAAAUGCUUAGGGAUCAUACAGAACACCGAUUGCGAAGGCAGCUUACCAAUCUAUAUCUGACGUUGAGGCACGAAAGCGUGGGGAGCAAACAGG